AAUUUUGAAUUUGGAUGUCUAAUUAUGGGGGUCUUAGACAAGUUCACAACCCCAAAACACUGAUGUGAGACGAGUCACAUCGAUGGUCGAAGGCUUGUUUCCAUCAUGGAGAAAACACAUGGGAAAAAACUAAAAGAAUCUUCAUUUCUUAAUUAAAAUAUGGACCCUAUUUAAAACUGUUAGGUGCAUUAUUCUUUCUGAGAGUCUAGGAUAAGCAACCCUGAACCCUUCACAAAGCUGUAAUGGCAGGAAACUCCAUGUAUUCUGUUGUGUUAAAUUUCCCAGUCUCCUGCUUAUAUCUUAGUCUUCCUUUGAAUGGGACAAAACUGCUUUCAAACACACCUCAUCUUGCAAAAAAAAACAUGCAAAAGAUAGUUCUCCAAACAUAUAUGGAUUCACCAGAAAAGGCAUCAAUUAAAAAAUACAGUGUAAUGAUACAACAAAUUAUAUUGUGUUGUGACAGAACAGAUGGGCUGAGCAUCUGAACUGCUAUUUAGAACUGGUCCUUUUCAGGACAGUAUUGACCAGUAUGAUUCCAUCCAUCCACAGACUAAAGUAUCCAUUGCCCAAGUGAACAAAAUUAGGUACUAUCGAUAACAUGCCUUCUCAACAACAGGAAAACAUUUCUGAAGGUAGGGUUUGCUGCUCAGCCUUUGUACUCCUGCUGGGUAAUAGAAAGAUAAGAAAAGAAGACAGCUCAGAAAGCCAUCCCUCUGGGCAGCAAGGGCAGCACAUCCAUAUCCACUGGGCAGGUGUUGAAUCUCUAGGUUCUUGUUACCAAAGAAUCACCAUAGAAUCCUUCUCUUUAGGUCUGCAUUCUGCCUAAAAGAGGAUGAAUUUUAAAGACAAUCACCUUCUUCUUCUUUCACCUACCUAUGGUGAGAGUUACAGUGGGUUUUAAGAAUCUUUGUCACUGUGCCCAGGACAGGGUUGUGCUUCUCCUCUUCCAUUAGCCCUGUUCUAAAGGCCCAGAGAAUUAAAGUCCCACCAACAUGAUGAUUUUGCAUCCUGCAGCAUAUGGACUCCCUCAAGCAAUGUCCUGCAGGAAGAGUGGAACAGCAGACUUCUUAGCAGACAAAGAAAAGACCUAAUACCUUGGUUGAAAAGAAAUACCAUCUGGGCAACCUUCUCAUCAUAGCCUGUGUUCUGGGAAGACACCUAGCUGCUGAAAUUGUUGAUGAAAACCAACCAGAUCCUCAACACUACCAAAAUCUAUGGUUCUCACACCACUUUCUCCCUUCUAUGUACUGGAGAUGGUAAAGACAGUUCUUUCAAAAAAACAAGUCCCUCUUCUAUAAAAAGUUUGAAGACUACUUAUCUUUUCUAAAGUUUAGCCUGCUUGCUUGAAGACGGGCUAAACCUGACAUUUCAGUGUCCUCCGGGAGUUUGUACACUCUUCCUGAAAUGGGCUUUAGAAGCCCUGGGACCUACCUCCUGUCCAAGACAGCACUCAGAGCUGCUGGAAUAAAGUCCUGCGCUAACCUGACUUGAAAAGAAAGUGACCAGCAGCACUGACCUUGAAAAUUCUGACAGUGAAGCAUCUUGAUUUUCUGCUUCAUUAUGUCCAAUCUACAGAUUCACCACUGACAGUACCCAACCACCCACUCACUAGUCCACGCUCUGCUGCUUCCUGGAGCCACCGCUAUAGCUCUGACAUUGGUAAACACACAAACACAUACCAAACCUCUCAUAGGCCAAGAGGGUACAGGGAGGCGCAGGGAGCGAUAGAUGUAUUCCUACGCUUUCACCAGCAUGCCUUCCCUAGGUCAGAAAAAGCAGCCCUCUAGGCAACACACAUUUAAGUGAGAGGUGCCUUUAAGGAUGGAAACAAUGCUGCCUACCUGAGGAAGAGAGGAAUAUCUGUAAGAAAAUGAAAUUAAAAUGAGACACUUGUUUCUAGGAUGGAACACGUAGGCAUUUGUAAAACAGAAUGUAUCAGCUAUAUGAAAACCAGUAUGAAAUGGAAAGCUAAAGCACAGAGUUGUCUCUCUGUCAUGCCCCUGUUCAGAGAACAAGAUGCACAGAUGGACCUGGAUAGGUUUCCUUUAAAGAGUGAGGAGAAAGACCAUAAAAGAAACUGUUUAGAAGGCAUUGCAUAUCCUUUCUUCACAGCUGGACAUCUUUGCUCUGGCAGCAGCACAGUGGGCUUAUAGAAAACAGAAAUGCAAACGCCUCAGAAACAAGCUAAGAUGGAGAAGGGGUGAGACCUGACCUAAAGUUUCAAGCCCCACCACACAUCUGCAGCUAAGAAUGCUGGGGCCCUUGGGCCUCUGAGUUAAAGCAUACCACUCAUUGAGUGACUUUCUGAUCUUUGGACACUGCCCCAAUUCUGCCACUGCCAGGAUCAUGCUGUUACUGGGCCUGUGCAGGGUGCCAAAGCAUGAGGGUGGGGGAACAAUAGAAUUCCAAAUCUGUAUCUUGAUUCAGCACAGAAGGGAAAAAAGCAAUAUUGAAAAGCACCCCAACCUCCCAAAAGCAUGAAUUACAUUAUUGGAUGGUAAGUUUUCAAAGCAAGACUAUUUCUCAUACCAAUUAGCUACAAAUUAAAAAAAAAAAUGUUUUAUGUGUAGGGAGCUAGGGUCUUCUGCUGCCAAUCAGAGGGAUGUCACCUGUAUUUUACCAGUAUGUGCCUUCCUUGAAUUUCACAGGACUUUAAGAAACCCUGUGAAUUCAUAGUCACUGUGAUUUAUAACAACAAAUGUUGAGGAGAGGGUGGAUCCCACCAAAGAUGUUACCUGUCCAAAGAGUUCAAGUUACUGAAUAUCUGCAACCAUGAUCCUCAACAGCUGUGAUCACCAACAUUUUCAAAACAGGAGAAAUUGAUGCUUUAGAUACAUUUUGAGCUAAAUAAUUUAAAAGAAAUACAUAAUUAAUAGCCCUGUAGCAUAUGAAAAUUAGGGUGUUAAUUUAGAAACUCAAAAAUGCUUACCAAAUCCCAAUUCACUGAUGAUUUUUUUUCAUGUUCUUGCAUAAUUUAAAUAACUUGUUUUGAGAACCAUUUGGAGUCUACCUUUUCUACUAUGGUUUGUCACUGACUAUGUAUAAGUAUAUAUAUUGAGCUGAAAUUUAAGGGACACAGCUAUUUUUCUUUGGCUUCACUAGUACACAGCUGUGUCUUGGACAAAUAUCAGCCUUUCUCUAGCCUAAUUUCUUCAUCAAUAAAAUUAAAAAUUUUAAUCACAUAUUCCCUAAGCUACUUUUCAGUUCCAGAAGUAUGUGAGUCUUCAUUACCAUAUUGCUCACUAAUGUAAAACAAAAAACAAAAAGCAAACAGAACAAAAAAGGAGUUCCAUACUGUUACAAAGAAAUAAACCAAAAAUUCCCAAUAACUGAAUUUCUACAUGCCAUCCUGUCUGGAAGAAGAAGUCUUGGAGUUUGGUAUGACACAAUUACAUUUUCUUCAUAUAGUGUUCUAGACAAGACAGCCAAUUUUAAUUCUUAUUUCUUUAGAUUUUACUAUAUAAACACAUGGAAAUUGUCACUAUGCAUAAUUAGAUAUAAACUGUCAAGAAAACCCCAGCCCAGGAAAGUACCACAAGGAGCAGGUCUCAGAGAACAAAAGAUCCAGUUAGUGAUGUGCCAUAGUCUUUCCUCAUCUAUUAUUUUUAGAUCUAUUUAUUCAUGUAUUUUAUGUAUAUGAGUACUCUGUCUUUAUGCAUAUCAGAAGAGGGAAUCAGAUCUCAUUGCAGAUGGUUGUGAGCCACCCUGUGGGUCCUGGGAAUAUGAACUCAGGACCUCUGGAAGAGCUGCCAGUGCUCCUAACUGCUGAGUCAUCUCUCCAGCCCAGUAUGACCUCAUCUUAAUAACACCUAGCCAGACACCUACAGAAGGACUAGCUACUUGAAGCGUCCUAGUGUGCACAGUCCUUACAGGGAGUACCCAAGAGAGAGAGAUGCUAUAUCAUUUUUAAACAUAAAGAAACCAAAGCCAAACCUGAAAAUAAACAUCUUAAACAUCACACAGCCAGGAAGAGGCAGAAUCAGAGAAAGACAUCAAGAGCCAUGUGACACUCUAUCUCUCCCUGGCAGUUUCCACUUGCCACUAGAGGGUCUCUUCAGCCAGGCCAGCUCCAAGCCUAAAGGCAUUUCACAUAAGCCAUCAUAUUUAAAUUAGAAUCUGAUGACUGCUAUUAUUGUGUCCAUUUUAGAGUUAGAGAAACUGAAACUUGAAGAGUGCAUAAGGUUUUCCCUUAGAAACCAGUAACAGCAAAGCAAGAAUCAAAACCAAGUUUAUGUGAUACUGAAGUCCAGAUCUAAAAUUUUUAUUUAUUACUGUUGUGUGUGCAAGGGCAGGUGUGCACACGCCAUAGUGUGUUUGUCUCUCUCUCUCUCUCUCUCUCUCUCUCUCUCUCUCUCUCUCUCUCUCUCUCUCUGUGUGUGUGUGUGUGUGUGUGUGUGUGUGUGUGUAGAUAACUAUUGGAAAUUGUUUCUUAUUCCCCUUCCACAGUAAGUUCCAGGGACUAAACCCCUGUCAGCAUGCUUACACAUAAGUACCUUCACCCACUGAGCCAUUUCAUUGUCCCCUGAAGUCUGUUGAUUUACCUUCAUCUAUGAACAAAAUAAAUUUACACUCAAGUUCUAUUCUA